AUUGAACGCUGGCGGCAGGCCUAACACAUGCAAGUCGAACGAGUGGCGGACGGGUGAGUAAUGUCUGGGAAACUGCCUGAUGGAGGGGGAUAACUACUGGAAACGGUAGCUAAUACCGCAUACCAUCAGAUGUGCCCAGGUGGGAUUAGCUAGUGGGUGGGGUAACGGCUCACCAAGGCGACGAUCCCUAGCUGUUCUGAGAGGAUGACCGGCCACACUGGAACUGAGACACGGUCCAGACUCCUACGGGAGGCAGCAGGAGGGAAUAUUGCCCAAUGGGCGCAAGCCUGAUGCAGCAAUGCCGCGUGUGUGAAGAAGGCCUUCGGGUUGUAAACUACUUUCAGCGGGGAGGCGGUACCCGAAGAAAAAGCACCGGCUAACUCCGUGCCAGCAGCCGCGGUAAUAC
rnacentral:rRNA from 1 species